UGAGUAAUGUCUGGGAAACUGCCCGAUAGAGGGGGAUAACUACUGGAAACGGUAGCUAAUACCGCAUAACGUCGCAAGACCAAAGUGGGGGACCUUCGGGCCUCACACCAUCGGAUGUGCCCAGAUGGGAUUAGCUAGUAGGUGGGGUAAUGGCUCACCUAGGCGACGAUCCCUAGCUGGUCUGAGAGGAUGACCAGCCACACUGGAACUGAGACACGGUCCAGACUCCUACGGGAGGCAGCAGUGGGGAAUAUUGCACAAUGGGCGCAAGCCUGAUGCAGCCAUGCCGCGUGUAUGAAGAAGGCCUUCGGGUUGUAAAGUACUUUCAGCGGGGAGGAAGGCGAUAAGGUUAAUAACCUUGUCGAUUGACGUUUCCCCGCAGAAGAAGCACCGGCUAACUCCGUGCCAGCAGCCGCGGUAAUACGGAGGGUGCAAGCGUUAAUCGGAAUUACUGGGCGUAAAAGCGCACGCAGGCGGUCUGUUAAGUCAGAUGUGAAAAUCUCCCGGG
rnacentral:rRNA from 1 species